CCGACCCUGGUAGGGGAAGGCGGGGACCUUCGGGCCUCGCGCUAUCAGAUGAGCCUGCGUAGGAUUAGCUUGUUGGUGAGGUAAAGGCUCACCAAGGCGACGAUCCUUAGCUGGUCUGAGAGGAUGAUCAGCCACACUGGAACUGAGACACGGUCCAGACUCCUACGGGAGGCAGCAGUGGGGAAUAUUGCGCAAUGGGCGAAAGCCUGACGCAGCCAUGCCGCGUGUGUGAAGAAGGCCUUCGGGUUGUAAAGCACUUUCAAUUGGGAAGAAAGGUUGGUAGUUAAUAACUGCCAGCUGUGACGUUACCUUUAGAAGAAGCACCGGCUAACUCCGUG
rnacentral:rRNA from 1 species